AGACAGUUUUUUGGAGUUUUAACCUGAAAAAUAAAACUAUCAGUUAUUUUACUAGCAAAAAAAUGGUUUUUUUCAGGAAUAACAGAAUUCCAAUUCUGGACAUGCAACAAACAAAGAGGAACAUUAUUUUGUGCAGAAGAAGAAUGAAGCUGGGAGGGUUUUUUCCAAACAAAAGUCCAUUGGGGGGGAAAAAAUAGCAGAAGUCCAGGUCAUGAUGGUUUCCAAAGGGCUGAGUUGCAGGGGUAGUGGAGAUGUUGUCAGAGAUACGAAAUACAUCUUUCCCUUGCAGGAGCCUGUGAUUGAUGAUUCUUUCCUGCUGCUGAUUCUUCUGUUGGGCUCUUCAUUGAUAAUUCUUUCUGUAAUUAACCAUAAUUGAUGUUGAGUGAAACUGUCGGAAGAUCCCGGAGCAGGCCGGAGACACGGUCGCGGGGGCUGGAGCGCCCCCCGAGGCCCCUGCUAGGCGGACAGACCUCUCGGGUCGUGAGUGUGCGCCUCGGCCUCCGCCGCACCUGCACCCGAUUCCGACCGCGCUCGUGCCGUCUGCCCCCAAACUUAUGCACUUAAUUAUCUUUUCCUGGACUCCCCAGUCGUUUCCUGCCCACCACUCCAGUCUCCCUAGAUAACACAAUAGGAAUUGAUGGGGUUGGAAGGGCUCGCAAGCCCUCGGAGGCCCAGCUCACGCCCAGGAAAGCGGGGAGGCGCUCCGGGAGCCCCAUCACGGGGCUCAUCACCCGGUCGCCUUCCCGGGACACGGAGCAGGACACCUCUAGCGCGCCCCCACAGCUGUCAGGCCCUCGGCGGCCGCCAGGGGGCGCGUCCGUUCCCCUCCCCCUCCCCCCCCCCCCCCCCCCCCCCCCCCCCGUUUUUUCUCUUUUGCGGAAACGCGAACCCGCGCUUCUCCAAAGCAAAUGAACCCUGAGGUAAUUCGGCCCUCUGCCGUCGCCGUAGCCCCAGACUGUAAACAGGAAGUAGGCGCCAAGAGGCGGGUGAAAAAUAACGCCCGGGGCUCGGAGGCGCCGUCGCCUGCGCGCUCAGGGGGUCCCUGCGGUUCUGCGCGGGGAGGGCUUCCCUCGCCAGUCCCUCCUCCAGUGGAGGUCUUUUGCCGCUAGCCAGCUCUCCCCUCGGCGGACAGGGCGUCCCCCCAACCAUGGCCGAAUACUCGUACGUGAAGUCCACCAAACUCGUGCUCAAGGGAACCAAGGCCAAGAGUAAGAAGAAAAAGAGCAAAGAGAAGAAGAGAAAAAGAGAAGAAGAUGAAGAAACUCAACUUGAUAUUGUUGGUUCUUUGACUCUGCACAUAUAGACAAAUCUCUGUUUCUGGCUCAUCAUGGCUUCCACUUCAAGUUUCCGCCCUUGCCAUCAACUUGUCUUCUGUGUCAC